UCCUGGGCGUAAAUGAUGUGGGCUAGGUGCAAAGCUACCUAAGUGGUAGCUUGGUGCCGAUGGGAAGCCGUUAAGCCCACCGCCUGGGGAGUACGGUCGCAAGGCUGAAACUUAAAGGAAUUGGCGGGGGAGCACCACAAGGGGUGGAGGCUGCGGUUUAAUUGGAUUCAACGCCGGGAAACUCACCGGGGGCGACAGCAGUAUGAAGGUCAGGCUGAUGACCUUACCAGACAAGCUGAGAGGAGGUGCAUGGCCGUCGUCAGCUCGUACCGUGAGGCGUCCUGUUAAGUCAGGUAACGA
rnacentral:rRNA from 1 species